CAUUACACACCCCACGUUCUGUGCGAGUCUUCUCGCAAAGGUCAGAGGCUCAGAGCUUCGUCCAAGACCCACCAAAGCAUACAAGCAUACUACCAAUAAUCUGCCAGUGACACCAUUUCAAGCGAGCGUGCUGACGAGUGACUUUUGGUUCUCACAAUGGUUCAAACAAUGUCAACAAAUUAGGGAAAGUGAUUGAUGUACUGAAAUGGGAGGAGGAGCUAAUCAAGGAAAAUGUAUUUCCUGGGAAUGUCAAAUUUUUAGAGGACAAGUAUGAUAAUAUGCAGAAAAAAUUAGAGGAGUAAGAAUGGAGAUAUGAAUAGUAUGAAGAAGAGUGUAAUUUGAAAAGGAGAGUAAUAUUCUUUUUUUUUCCUUUUGCUGAAAAUAUUGCUGAAGAUAUUAAAAAUUAUGUGUUGAAUAGGGGAGAAAAUAAAGAGAAAAACUUAAGAAGAUUUUUGAUGAUAGGCGAAGGGAAUGGACUUGGUUUCCAUUUUA